rnacentral:rRNA from 1 species
AGAGUUUGAUCCUGGCUCAGAAUCAACGCUGGCGGCGCGCCUAACACAUGCAAGUCGAACGAGAAAGUCGGAGCAAUCCGGUGAGUAAAGUGGCGUACGGGUGAGUAACUCGUGGAUCAUCUACCUCUUAGUGUGGAAUAACCAUGGGAAACCGUGGCUAAUACCGCAUAAGUCCGUGAGGAGAAAGCAGCAAUGCGCUGAGAGAGGAGUCCGCGGCCGAUUAGCUAGUUGGCAGGGUAAAAGCCUACCAAGGCAAAGAUCGGUAGCCGGCCUGAGAGGGCACACGGCCACACUGGCACUGAAACACGGGCCAGACUCCUACGGGAGGCAGCAGUGGGGAAUCUUGCACAAUGGGGGAAACCCUGAUGCAGCGACGCCGCGUGAGCGAUGAAGCCCUUCGGGGUGUAAAGCUCUUUCGGCAGGGAAGAUAGUGACGGUACCUGCAGAAGCAGCUGCGGCUAACUACGUGCCAGCAGCCGCGGUAAUACGUAGGCAGCGAGCGUUGUUCGGAGUUACUGGGCGUAAAGGGUGUGUAGGCGGUCGCCUAAGUUUGGUGCGAAAUCUCCCGGCUCAACCGGGAGGGUGCGCCGAAUACUGAGUGACUAGAGUGUGGGAGAGGAAAGUGGAAUUCCUGGUGUAGCGGUGAAAUGCGUAGAUAUCAGGAGGAACACCGGCGGUGUAGACGGCUUUCUGGACCAUAACUGACGCUGAAACACGAAAGCGUGGGUAGCAAACAGGAUUAGAUACCCUGGUAGUCCACGCCCUAAACGAUGCAUAUUUGGUGUGGGUCAUUCAGUUGAUCCGUGCCGGAGCUGACGCGUUAAAUA